AUUGAACGCUGGCGGCAGGCCUAACACAUGCAAGUCGAGCGGCUGCACGGAGAUUGCUUCUGGUUUCAGCGGCGGAGGGGCGGGUGAUGCCUAGGAAUCUGCCUGUUAGUGUGGGCUAACGUGCGGAAGCGGGGGCUCAUACCGCAUAAGUCCUGAGGGCGAAAGUGGGGGAGCUUCGGACCUUCGGCUCUUGGGUGAUUCUAUGUGGCGAGGUCGGAUUAGCUAGUUGGCGGGGUAAAGGCCUACCAAGGCGACGAUCCGUAGCUGGUCUGAGAGGAUGAUCAGCCACACUGGAACUGAGACACGGUCCAGACUCCUACGGGAGGCAGCAGUGGGGAAUAUUGGACAAUGGGCGAAAGCCUGAUCCAGCCAUGCCGCGUGUGUGAAGAAGGUCUUCGGGUUGUAAAGCACUUUUAUUGGGGAAGAAAAGCAGUAAGUUAAUACCUUGCUGUUUUGACGGUACCAAAAGAAUAAGCACCGGCUAACUUCGUG
rnacentral:rRNA from 1 species